AGCCGGUUAAAUGGUCGCGGCUGCAAUUGCCGAAAGGUAGCAGGUGAGGAAAGUCCGGGCUUCAUAGGGCAAGAUGCUGGAUAACGUCCAGUAGAGGUGACUCUCAGGAAAGUGCAACAGAAAAUAACCGCCGCAUAAGCGGUAAGGGUGAAAAGGCAGGGUAAGAGCCUACCGUCUCUCUGGUGACAGAGAGGGCUGUGUAAACCCCAUCUGAAGCAAGACCGAAUAAGAAACGAUACGGCUGCCCGUCGUGUUUCGUGGUAGGUCGCUUGAUUUUAUCGGUAACGGUAAAACUAGAUAGAUGAUCAUUCAAGACAUAACCCGGCUUACAGGCUGACUCA
rnacentral:RNase_P_RNA from 1 species